AUGCAACUAAAUCACUGUAUCCAAUCGAGAAUAAUCAACAUCCGGAAGGAUCCGCACAUCUAUAACUAUGGAAGACUACUCGACUUAAUAUUUAUGAAAAGAUUUAAUUUAGAUCUUCUUAGAUUUUAAUUGUUUAUAUACAUCGCAUGUAAAUCCGCAGUUAUAUUGGAUCUACUAGUGAGAUCGCGUCUUGACUCAUCAAGACCAGACUCAUGGUGCAAUGUAAUCAUGGUGAACUCAACACUAAGCACUCCA
rnacentral:lncRNA from 1 species